CAGGAUCUACAUGUAAACAAUCAGGCCGCGUGUGACACCCUCAGCCCCACGCUGGCCAGGCGCGGCGCCCCACACACCAGAACACUUCCUGCCACGGCUACACUCCCCCACACCAGCCGCAAGGCAGCCCCAGCCAGGCUCCACACCCUCAGGUCAGCCUGUGACACCCUCAGGGGAAUGCUCACGUUUUUGGGAUUGCUUCAAAGCUUGACGAGACACCUCUCCCAGGCUCCCUCCUUCACGCAGGACCACCCCUGGAGGAGGACUCCCUGGAGCCUGCCAAGGAGUACAGGGAUGCUGACAUCAAUGAGGCUAUACACGAUUAUGAACCAGUUGGUGAAGGGCUGGAGCCUCCUCUGAGCACCCCUGUGUGACAGUACAGCUGGUGAACCCACUCAGGACCAGAAGGUUGAUGAGGGUAAUCUUGAGAGCCAGCACCAGACCCUGGCGCCUCCUCCACCCCGGCCAGGAUCCCUCCCCCAGGGCCCAUGGAGCCACCAGAGGUAAGGCACCAUCAGGCAUCCCUUCCCUGUUUGUAAUUUUUGGAAUGUCUUCAGAAGUGACUUGUUUCAUUUCCUUUUGAUUUCUAUUCAAAGUGAUUUUCCUGUAUUUGAAUUUCAGACCAAGCAUUUUGCAAGGUCUUCAGACAAAGCCUAACAAAAUAUUGUGCCUUCCAUUUUUUUUUCUAUAACUCAAAAAAAAUGUGACUAAUUGUGUAAAAGUGUGCCCAGGUCAUAGCUGGGCACGAUAACAGAAAACCUUAUUCCCGAUAACCGAUAACUGAUAAUGGAAAACCUUAUCGGUAAUAACCGAUAUUCGUUAACUGGAAAUACAAAUAUAGGCGAUAACCGAUACCCGAUAUUAAUCCACAAUUCCGAUACUAGCUAGCGAUAAGUCCGAUAGGCGAAAACGAUUCUAUAUUGAUAUUUCAAAUAAAAAACAUAGAUGAAUUCAAAUUUUUAUUAUCUGUAUUUUAGAAA